AUUCUCCACCGUCACUUUGUCCCCGGGGCAGAGGAGAUCGAAGCCUCCAACAUCGACAACGUGGUGCUGGACGAGGAUCGUUCUGGGGCCCGGCGGCUCCAGAACCUCUGGAGGGACCAGCGGGAGGAGGAGUUGGGCGAGUAUUACAUGAAGAAAUACGCCAAGUCCUCGGUGGGGGAGACG